GGCCCAAGCAGUUAAGUUUAGUUAAACUAGCAUGAUAUCCUACUGCUAUGACACAUUCAUAUUUUGUGCAUAAAAAUAAUUUUUAUGAAAGGCUUACUUUAAGUAGAACUUUUGAAAACAAAAACAAAAAGUUUUUAAACUAACUACCGGCCCAUGCAGGUAAUUAUAUUAGAAAUGUCAAAACAUUGUCUAUUGGAGUCUCUUUUAAAGCAUUUUAUCAUUGCAGCAUAACUGUAACUCAGACCAGCAUCUCUCAGCACUGUACAAAUUUUUAAAGCUAUAUUCCUUAUAUUUAGAUCUAUUGUCCAUAUGAAACAUGUAUGAUCAAAUAUAUGUGUUAUGUAUAUCUGAAAAUGAAAUUC
rnacentral:lncRNA from 1 species